rnacentral:misc_RNA from 1 species
UUUACAUUGGGUUUGGGAGCCUCGUAAGUUGCAUGUUUGAUUUCUCGUUUUGAUUUCUUUCAGUAAUUUUGCUGAAAUAUGCACUUAUUUUGUAAUUGUUGUGCUUACUUAGGGCUGCAAAAUUUUUAGGUUGGCAUGGUAAAAAUUCUUGAACAUCAAAUACUCCCUGUGUGUUUGCUGGAUAAGAUAUAACUUAUUCCUUUGUAUGGGAUUUGUUGUGAACUGGAUUUAGCUUGAAAGAUAAGCAUGCAGCAGCAAUUCUAAGGGAAUGAUGACUGAAAAGUGAAAACUUUGUUGUAGUCAUAUUCUGCUAUUUGAUUGAUUCAAGUGGUGAUAUGUUGGUUUCUGUGUAGAAGUGGUUCUUCAAUUUCAUGCAACUCUUUUCCUUGCAAUAUCUGCUCGAAUUUAUAGGUUUAAUUCUCGCUUGUUUGUAGACAAAGGAGUUCAACAAAUGACUUAAGUUUUGUGAUUACACUGAGGUCUCCUCUUUCAAAAUGAGAAGUAAUUAUGUAAGUGCUCUACUGAUUCAAUCAACAUAGGAGUAUGAUCGGCCCAUAAUCAAUUAUUGGAAUACUAAAAAGAAGGUUACCACCAAAUUAAUGAGGACAGUUGCCACCAUAUGUGAUUUUAGUUGUUGCUUGUUAGUUUGUUCCUUGAGACUUUUAUUGAAAGGAAAUUUUGCUUUGCUUCCUUAUUGCAUUUGACUUGGUGAUGCAGUUAAGGAAGAUUCAAUUUAAACUUUGUUUUUAUUUAAUUUUUAAUUGUAAAAUUAAGAUCCUUAGUUCAAUUUUCUAAUAGAAUUUCUAUUAGGAAGACUAGGUUUCUAUUAUUUAAGAAUAUCUAACCAAAGCCAACCACUCAGUGCAGAAACAGGAAAUUAGGCAAGCUAAUUUUCUGUAAUACAAUAACUGUGUAGGGAUCAUGAUUUUAAAUCCUAUUAUUAACUAAAACUAUAUAUUGCUCUCAAAAGAGUUGUCUUAGACAAUUUUGUCUAUGCAGCCAACUAAUCAAACACUUAAAAUACCAAUAGUUCCUUUGAUUUUAAAAAAAAAAAAGGAAAAAG